CCAUGCCGCGGUGCAGGAUGCUGCCCUAUGGGUUGUAAACUGCUUUUGUACGGGAAAAAACCCUUCGAUUCGUUCGGAGGCUGAUGGUACCGUGCGAAUAAGCAUCGGCUAACUCCGUGCCAGCAGCCGCGGUAAUACGGAGGAUGCAAGCGUUAUCCGGAUUCAUUGGGUUUAAAGGGUGCGCAGGCGGAAUAGUAAGUCAGUGGUGAAAUCUUCCGGCUCAACCGGGAAACUGCCAUUGAUACUGCUGUUCUUGAGUACAGUUGAAGUGGGCGGAAUGUGUCAUGUAGCGGUGAAAUGCUUAGAUAUGACACAGAACACCGAUAGCGAAGGCAGCUCACUAAGCUGUAACUGACGCUCAUGCACGAAAAGCGUGGGGAUCAAACAGGAUUAGAUCCCUGGUAGUCCACGCUGUAACGAUGAUCCUCGUUGUUGGCGAU
rnacentral:rRNA from 1 species